rnacentral:rRNA from 1 species
GAUAAACGCUGGCGGCAUACUUAAGACAUGCAAGUCGAACGGCCGUACUGGAAUUGUUUUGAUUUUGAGGGGGGAAGUGGCGGAUAGGUGAGUAAAGCGUACGGAGCAGGCGUGUAAAGGGGGAAUAAAGGGGGGAAAAUAUCGCAAAUGCCCCGAGGGCGAAAGAUAUAAAUCGUUAAAAGUGGGGAAGGAGGACUGCGCGAAUAGAUGGCCUUGCGUCUGUUUGGUUAGUGGGUGGGGUAACGGCCUACCAAGUCGACGAUCAGUGGCCGGACUGAUAGGUUGCGCCGCCACCUCGUGACUGAGAUACGGCCCAGACUCCUACGGGAGGCAGCGGUCGGGUAUAUCGCGCAAUGGACGUAUCUCUGACGCAGUGUCGCCGCGUAUAGGAAGAAUGUUUUCGGAUUGUAAACUUUUGUCGUUAGCGAGGAGAAAUGACAGUACCUAAAGAGGAAGCACCGGCUAACUACGUG